UACUUGGGAAUUAAUAGACACCCGUUAUAAGCUGGUCGGUUGGAGUCUGAUUGGGAUAUCCCCAACAGCAUCCAUACUAGUGGCCUCAUUUGUGGUUGGGAAACUCUCUAAUAGGUGGGCACGGAUAGCGAGUGGUGCAACUAAUGAUGCCGUGAGGUUGGUAUGCACACCCUUUUUUAUCUAGACUACCAACUUCAUAGAAGAAAGCAUAUCUCUCACCUCUUUCAAUAAAAUCUCUGGGAGGAUUUGAUUGAUUUGGAUCAAAAUCUAAUAUUUAAGGAACCGAUGGCCAUUGUGGAUAGGCAGAUCUAGAAGUUAUGGUGCAAGGAGAAAGCAUUAAUGAAGAUUUAGUGGAAGAAUCAACCAGAUGAUGAGGUUAUUUGGGAGAUCGAGUUUUAUUUGAAAGUAGACAUCUCAAGCUUUUCAAUAGUUCAUUUACCUUCCUUAUCCCUAUGUUUAUAGUCAAACAUGUGUUUUAGUGGUGGAUGUUGUAAUGACCCUUAUACUGGUUUGUCACUUUUGGUGUAUUCUUACUAUUUUAACCUUUUAGUAGUAAUAUUAUAGUAUUUGUGG